rnacentral:rRNA from 1 species
GACGAACGCUGGCGGCGCGCUUAACACAUGCAAGUCGAACGGAAAGGCCUGCUUUCCCUUGUGGAUUGCGGGUACUCGAGUGGCGAACGGGUGAGUAACACGUGAGUGAUCUGCCCCCAACUUGGGUAUAAGCCUGGGAAACUGGGUCUAAUUCCCGAUAGGACUGCAGGGUGGUGCCUGUGGUGGAAAACGAUUUUCUAGUGGUUGGGGAUGAGCUCGCGGCCUAUCAGCUUGUUGGUGGGGUAAUGGCCUACCAAGGCGGCGACGGGUAGCCGGCCUGAGAGGGUGGACGGCCACAUUGGGACUGAGAUACGGCCCAGACUCCUACGGGAGGCAGCAGGGGGGAAUAUUGCACAAUGGGCGGAAGCCUGAUGCAGCGACGCCGCGUGGGGGAUGACGGCCUUCGGGUUGUAAACUCCUUUCGACCGCGAGGAAGCCACCUGGUUGGAAGGGUGGUGACGGUAGUGGUAGAAGAAGCACCGGCUAACUACGUG